rnacentral:other from 1 species
CGUUCUCUGUAGUGUUCGAGUAGUGGGCUGGGUAACCCCUUGAUCCUAGUUAAUCUUACCCGGGGUGGACGGUUGUCGGCGUAAGUGUGCAGGUCCGGGCCUUGUUGGCUUAUCCAGGACAACAAGGAUUGAAAUCAAUCGGAAAGCCUGAUACGCCGAACUGUCUCCCCACUUGAGCCUCACGGUUCAAGGGUAACGGCCCGAGACGGCACCGACGGAGGACGC